rnacentral:lncRNA from 1 species
AAAAAAUUAUUUACGAAUUUAUAAGUUUUUUUUUUUUAUGAGAGAAUUGUCCGUAUAUUUAUAUGAGCUUCCAACGUCCUAAUAAAUAAGCAGAAAAUUAAACAAAAUUGGUUUUUGAUUAUUAUCUUAAUAUAAUCAGAAUGUAUUUCUAAUUAGAUUUUUAAUAUAAAAGUAAUAUUAAAUUUUGUCCAAUUAGACAAUAUAAUAAUCUUCGGAUCAAAUCUGAUCAUGACUCACCCGACUACGCACGUUUAACCAAAUGCCAAUAGAUAUUUAAUUAAUUAUAAAUGUUAAAUACUUUGUAAUUCCCCCACGUAUUUACUACAACAUUUAAGGCCUAUGUUAGUAGAGCCCUUGCCAAUUGUCUCUCGAGCAAGUGGCAAAAGAUUUGAUGAUUGGUAUCCGAGAUUCAAGUUCGAAUUCUAGUUGAUUCACAUUUUCAGCUAAGUUUAUUUUUAAAUAAAAUAAACGAAGCGAUAUCGUGCUACUUAUCUCUAAAAAAAAAAUAUAAAAAAUAAAAUUAGUAGAGCCCCUAAAC